rnacentral:tRNA from 1 species
GGGCGAUUAGCUCAGUGGGAGAGCGCUUCCUUCACACGGAAGAAGUCGUAGGUUCAAUCCCUACAUCGCCCACCA